rnacentral:rRNA from 1 species
AGGGCACCACCAGGAGUGGAGCCUGCGGCUUAAUUUGACUCAACACGGGGAAACUCACCCGGCCCGGACACCGUAAGGAUUGACAGAUUGAUAGCUUUUUCAUGAUUCGGUGGAUGGUGGUGCAUGGCCGUUCUUAGUUCGUGGAGCGAUUUGUCUGGUUUAUUCCGAUAACGAGCGAGACUCUGGCCUACUAAAUAGUUGACGCAUUGCCACUGUGCGCACAACUUCUUAGAGGGAUUUUCGGUGUUCAACCGCACGAAAUUGAGCAAUAACAGGUCUGUGAUGCCCUUAGAUGUCCGGGGCUGCACGCGCGCUACACUGGCAGAAUCAACGUGCCUGUCCUCCCCCGAAAGGGGUUGGUAAACCGAUGAAAAUUUGCCGUGAUUGGGAUCGGACAUUGCAACUAUUGUCCGUGAACGAGGAAUUCCUUGUAGGGGCGAGUCAUCAACUCGUCCCGAAUACGUCCCUGCCCUUUGUACACACCGCCCGUCGCUGCCCGGGACUGAGCCAUUUCAAGAA